UACGUAGGUGGCGAGCGUUAUCCGGAAUUACUGGGUGUAAAGGGCGUGUAGGCGGCACUGUAAGUCAGAUGUGAAAUCUCCCGGCUCAACCGGGAGCGUGCAUCUGAUACUGCAGUACUUGAGUGAUAGAGGGGAAAGUGGAAUUCCUAGUGUAGCGGUGAAAUGCGCAGAUAUUAGGAGGAAUACCGGUGGCGAAGGCGGCUUUCUGGCUAUUAACUGACGCUGAUGUGCGAAAGCGUGGGUAGCAAACAGG
rnacentral:rRNA from 1 species